AGGGAUGCCAGAUCGUGUGAAUCCUCCUCAGAGUUGUUGCCAGGUUGUACAAAUCCUCCUCAAGGUAUUAUAGGCCUCCUUGGAUGAUUUAUUGCACUGCUUGCUCAACCAGUGACAUGAAGCUGUCGGAACUACUACUUUGUCGUAACUGCAGCUCUCCGUUGCCAUUUCCAGGGCUGGAGGAUAAAUCACAGCACUACACUAGGAUGAUGAUGAUGAUGAUGAUGUUGUUCUGCAGUAUUAUUUAAGCCAUGCACAAUGAUGCAGUUUCAAUCAGCAACCACAUGGAAGGAACAGCAUGCUGUGUGAAUCCUGAAUCACUUCCAAAUAAACAAGAGCUAUGCAACGAGUGGAGUAACACAACCCACAUGUAUGUAGUUGGUUGUUAUUUAAUGCAUAGGCUGGAUGAUGACG